rnacentral:rRNA from 1 species
UACGUAGGGUGCAAGCGUUAAUCGGAAUUACUGGGCGUAAAGCGUGCGCAGGCGGUUUUGUAAGUCUGUCGUGAAAUCCCCGGGCUCAACCUGGGAAUUGCGAUGGAGACUGCAAGGCUAGAAUCUGGCAGAGGGGGGUGGAAUUCCUGGUGUAGCGGUGAAAUGCGCAGAUAUCAGGAGGAACACCGAUGGCGAAGGCGGCUCUCUGGGACGGUACUGACGCUGAGGUGCGAAAGCGUGGGGAGCAAACAGG